UAUAUACACAUAUGAAAAUCCCAGUGAUAGGAGAAUGACUGAAGUUUGGAGUUUAAACACUGAGUUCAUGCAUUAGCUUUACAUGGGUUCUAAUCCCAGCUCCACCACCUCUAGCCGACUGACCGCGAGCUAAUGACUUAAGCUACCUCAACCUCAGUUUCCUCAUCUGGAAAAUGAGAAUAAGAAUAGUUCCUGCCUCCCAGUGUGUCACCAUGAGAACUAAAGGACCUAACACAGUACCUGGCACAUGCUGGGGGUUAACAAACGGUAGUAUUGCUACCUGUCACCAUCAUCACUUCAUACACGAAGGCUCAUGGAGAGGGUG